rnacentral:rRNA from 1 species
UACGUAGGUGGCAAGCGUUGUCCGGAUUUACUGGGCGUAAAGAGCGCGCAGGCGGUCGUUCAAGUCGAGUGUGAAAAGCCCCCCGGCUCAACUGGGGGAGGGUCACUCGAUACUGAUCGACUUCGAAAGGGCAGAAGAGGGGAAAGCGGGAAAUUUCCCCGGGUGUAGUGGUGAAAAUGCGUAGAUAUCGGAAGGAACACCAGUGGCGAAAGGCGGCUUCCUGGUCCAGCACCG